rnacentral:rRNA from 1 species
CGUGCUUAACACAUGCAAGUCGAACGAGACGAUUUAGAAGCUUGCUUUUAUUGAGUCGAGUGGCAAACGGGUGAGUAACGCGUAGACAACCUGCCGCAAAGAUGGGGACAACAGUCCGAAAGGACUGCUAAUACCGAAUGUUGUAUCUCCUCCGCAUGGAAGAGAUAUUAAAGAUGGCCUCUACUUGUAAGCUAUCGCUUUGCGAUGGGUCUGCGUCUGAUUAGCUAGUUGGUGGGGCAACGGCCUACCAAGGCGACGAUCAGUAGCCGGUCUGAGAGGAUGAACGGCCACAUUGGAACUGAGACACGGUCCAGACUCCUACGGGAGGCAGCAGUGGGGAAUCUUCCGCAAUGGGCGAAAGCCUGACGGAGCAACGCCGCGUGAGUGAAGAAGGUCUUCGGAUCGUAAAGCUCUGUUGUCGAGGACGAAUGUUGAGACCUAGAACAUAGGUUUCAAAUGACGGUACCUGACGAGGAAGCCACGGCUAACUACGUG